rnacentral:rRNA from 1 species
AUUGAACGCUGGCGGCAUGCUUUACACAUGCAAGUCGAACGGCAGCGCGGGCUUCGGCCUGGCGGCGAGUGGCGAACGGGUGAGUAAUACAUCGGAACGUGCCCAGUCGUGGGGGAUAGCUCGGCGAAAGCCGGAUUAAUACCGCAUACGACCUGAGGGUGAAAGCGGGGGAUCUUCGGACCUCGCGCUAUUGGAGCGGCCGAUGGCAGAUUAGCUAGUUGGUGGGGUAAAGGCCUACCAAGGCGACGAUCUGUAGCUGGUCUGAGAGGACGACCAGCCACACUGGGACUGAGACACGGCCCAGACUCCUACGGGAGGCAGCAGUGGGGAAUUUUGGACAAUGGGCGAAAGCCUGAUCCAGCAAUGCCGCGUGUGUGAUGAAGGCCUUCGGGUUGUAAAGCACUGUUGGCGGGAACGAAAAGGACUGUGCCAAUACCACGGUUCGAUGACGGUACCCGCAGAAUAAGCACCGGCUAACUACGUG